rnacentral:rRNA from 1 species
CAGUAGCCGCGGGAAUACGAAGGGGGCUAGCGUUGUUCGGAAUUACUGGGCGUAAAGCGCACGCAGGCGGCUCGAUAAAUUAGAAGUGAAAGCCUUGGGCUUAACCUGAGAAUUGCUUUUAAGACUGUCGAGCUAGAAUCCAGAAGAGGGUAGGGGAAUUCCGAGUGUAGAGGUGAAAUUCGUAGAUAUUCGGAAGAACACCAGUGGCGAAGGCGACUACCUGGUCUGGCAUUGACGCUCAUGUGCGAAAGCGUGGGGAGCAAACAGGAUUAGAUACCCCAGUAGUCCCUGUCUCUUAUAA